AUUGAACGCUGGCGGCAUGCCUUACACAUGCAAGUCGAACGGUAGAGUUGCAAUACUCGAGAGUGGCGAACGGGUGAGUAACAUAUCGGAACGUGCCCAAUCGUGGGGGAUAACGUAGAGAAAUUUACGCUAAUACCGCAUACGAUCUAAGGAUGAAAGCGGGGGAUCGCAAGACCUCGCGCGAUUGGAGCGGCUGAUAUCAGAUUAGGUUGUUGGUGAGGUAAAAGCUCACCAAGCCGACGAUCUGUAGCUGGUUUGAGAGAACGACCAGCCACACUGGGACUGAGACACGGCCCAGACUCCUACGGGAGGCAGCAGUGGGGAAUUUUUGGACAAUGGGCGCAAGCCUGAUCCAGCAAUGCCGCGUGCAGGAUGAAGGCC
rnacentral:rRNA from 1 species